AGAGUUUGAUCCUGGCUCAGACUGAACGCUGGCGGCAUGCCUUACACAUGCAAGUCGAACGGCAGCGCGGACUUCGGUCUGGCGGCGAGUGGCGAACGGGUGAGUAAUACAUCGGAACGUACCCUGUUGUGGGGGAUAACUAGUCGAAAGAUUAGCUAAUACCGCAUACGACCUGAGGGUGAAAGUGGGGGACCGCAAGGCCUCACGCAGCAGGAGCGGCCGAUGUCUGAUUAGCUAGUUGGUGGGGUAAAGGCCCACCAAGGCGACGAUCAGUAGCUGGUCUGAGAGGACGAUCAGCCACACUGGGACUGAGACACGGCCCAGACUCCUACGGGAGGCAGCAGUGGGGAAUUUUGGACAAUGGGGGCAACCCUGAUCCAGCAAUGCCGCGUGUGUGAAGGAGGCCUUCGGGUUGUAAAGCACUUUUGUCCGGAAAGAAAUCGCGCUGGUUAAUACCUGGCGUGGAUGACGGUACCGGAAGAAUAAGCACCGGCUAACUACGUGCCAGCAGCCGCGGUAAUACGUAGGGUGCGAGCGUUAAUCGGAAUUACUGGGCGUAAAGCGUGCGCAGGCGGUUUUGUAAGACAGGCGUGAAAUCCCCGGGCUUAACCUGGGAAUUGCGCUUGUGACUGCAAGGCUAGAGUGCGUCAGAGGGGGGUAGAAUUCCACGUGUAGCAGUGAAAUGCGUAGAGAUGUGGAGGAAUACCGAUGGCGAAGGCAGCCCCCUGGGACGUGACUGACGCUCAUGCACGAAAGCGUGGGGAGCAAACAGGAUUAGA
rnacentral:rRNA from 1 species